rnacentral:rRNA from 1 species
AUGGGACCACUCGAUGCAUCGCUCGACGCUGAGCAUUUCCAUAGGCGGAGCGCCGCGAGAGGUGGCUGGAGCUGCCGGCAGUCUUCGUCGGGGCAACCAUCAUCUCCUCUGCCCAGUGCCCCGUCGAGGAGGAAGAAGAAGGAACGAGGAGGAGAUAUAGAUAGGCGCAGGCCCCACACAUCGGCGACCCUGACGGCCGGCCCCGCCCCGCCCCCGCUGACAUCGUUAAGUGGAGACGUACUCCGCGGAGUACGCCUUCCCUUAACCGAAAGCGCAUUCUGCUUCUUCUUUGGGCCAGAAUGCACUUUCCUCUCUGGAAAGCGUAUUUCUGAGAAAGGCGCGUUCUGUUUUAAUUGCCAGGGACCUGUUUGUAGAAGUUAUUUUUGCAGAUUAGUCCCUAGGCUUUAA